UAUCACCCUCCAAUUGGAAAAACCCACAAAGCCAAUCGUGCACCUUGGCGUAACCAAAACCAGAGGCAGCAGCAGCAGUUCCUCCAAAGCCGAUUCCGAUCCAGCAAAAGCAACAACCGCGUGUGUGUGUGUGUGUGAUGAUGAUGGGCGGAAAACAUACGUUCGAAAUCUUGUUGCUUUCUGUCGGCCGACCAGCCUGCUCUGCCAGCGGAAAACCAGAAGUAAUACUCAAGUAAGAUAAAUAUAAAUAUUUCCUCAUUUUAUAAAUAUGCAAACAUUAUUCCCUCAGCCAAUCCGUAAACGUGAAGCUCGAGGUGCAGUCUUUGGUUGAUCACUCUCAUCACUAGUGGAUCUCGUCCGUUUCAGGAACCGAAACUUGGCGGCGGUUUCUCGGUACUUGUACUUUCAUGUUCCGCUGCCGUACUCCAAGAAUUGAAGACCUCUAACGCAGACCGCAUCCGACGGUCCAUCCGCCAGCCAGCCAAGCAAACUUCCUCCCGGGACCAGCAUGGGGCACCUGCUUUACAGAGUCUGUCAAGCUGGGCACAACCCAUCAAAGUUUCCAAAGUUGAUCAAAUAUGAAAGCAAAAAGGGGAGGAAUAUACCGCACGAUGAAAUAUAUCGAACCAACCGCACCAGAGCUCUGCACAGACCACGGCGAUAAACUAGGAAGCAACUGUCAUCACGAACGUCACUCAAAUUUAUCACUUAAUAUGAAAUUUAUGCCUGCCACAAACUUGUAGUGGAGGAUCGUGCUCGGUUCGGCCAUAUUUAUAAUUUAUAUUUCGAGCCACAGAGAAAGAGUGCAGAGACAAGGAACCUAUUUCACAUGCAGUUGAAUUUAAUUGGCAGAUUGAUAUUUCCUCUCGAGUUGCAGCAGCAGCAAAAGAUGAAAUGUUUACCCGCCCAAAGUUUGGAGACGGACAUCAUCGAGAGGAGUCUUCGUCGUCAGUUUUGGUGCUUCUUUUCUAGGAAUGUAGAAAUAUUUAUGCAAGCCACAACACGGAGACCCUUAAUCGGAUUGCGUAACUCUAUUUAUAAAUGUUUGCGUUUUGUGACAGAGCGCGAUACAAUGUUGCUAUGCGAGUCAUGAAUGAAAUUUGAA